CAGGACCAAGUGCACGUGUGUGAGACCUCACUGCUGCGACGCUGGAGGAAGGUAUCUUUGCCAAAUGUGUACACAAAGAGGACUGCUUAUAUUACCGAAGCACUGCACUAAGUUUGUUCCGGAAAACGCUGUUUUCCAUGAGUGAAAACGGAGAGCUACCUGAGCCCCCAUCAAUUACCUUUGCCCUUGAGAUCUUGAAUUAAGUGCUUUUCAAUUGAAUCAGGCAUAAGGAACAGUGUGCUUCUUGCCUGUUAAUAGCAGACACCAACCCAUUUUGAAAAUUGCAUUGGGAAAUGUCUUCUUGGGGAUUUGACAAAAAUUGUUCCAUGAUUUUAAGCACAGCUUAUUUUCCUCCUGUUUACACAAAGUUUGUAAGGAAAAAAAAUGGUGAUGUUCGGAACAACUGUGUAAAUAUGUUUACGGAUGUACUUUUCUAUAGUGUUAGUAUCCAACACUAAAAGUCACCUAGCAACAAAUUAAGGAACCAUGAAAGAAUCAGAGAAGCAGCACGCCUGCCUCCAGAUCAUAACCAGGAGGCCUGGUGAAUCUUGGCCGCCAGUUGCAGAUACCCUCAUAGAAAACGUCCCUGGAACUUCACAAGCUUUGCUGUGGCUACAGAGCCAUCUCGUGGUUCUGCACAGUAUCAGCUACAAGGAAGAGGACUGCACCAGGCCUUCCUCAGUCUAUCAGCACCUAAAAUGCGGCUUGGGACAAGUCCUUGUUUGUAAUCAAUAAAAUCCAUUCCUUCC
rnacentral:lncRNA from 1 species